AACGACCUAGACCGUGUGGAAACGGUCACCCAACACAACAUCCCUGACCUACCCUGAGAGGCAACAAAAGAAGAAAAACAUCAGAGCUGGAGAUCAGAAGAAGCCAAGAGAUUCAGACUCUGCCAAAGCAAACAUGCAUGGCGCAGGCCAAGAGCCUAGAGAAGAAACCAGAUUGCAAUCAAAACCACGGCUGAAUGGUCUGUCUAGAAGCAUGGCUUCAAUAAAACAGGUGUCCUCCACUAUCUUAGAGACCUCCAGUAAUACCAGGACGUUCUGAUGAAAUCAACUACAGAGAAAACAUCUCCACCGGAACAAACCUGAUAUUUGCUUUGGCAGCUCUAGAAGCAGCUAAGUAUCACCCAAGGAAGAAAGCUGGACCUGGAAUCAGGAAGACAUGAAUCCAGCCUCAGUCACUUACAGCUGUGUGACC